GGAGUGCCAUUACCUUCCCGCCAGAGCGGUACCUAUUGAUAUACUCACAUUGGCAUGUUUUCGAACUGCUAGGUUGGCAGGAGUUUCACCCACAUACUGUAUAUACUGUAUAUAUAUAUAUACAGUGUUCCCUCACUUAUCACGGGGGUUAGGUUCCAGGACCACCCGCAAUAAGUGAAAAUCUGCGAAGUAGGGACACUAUAUUUAUUUGAACAUUUAUUCAUUAUUUUAGUAGCUGUACACUAUUUUCGUGUGUUGAUAAAUCGUCUCCUUCUCCUCCUGUUGCCACUUGGGCUCCUUUUCUCUCCCUUUGGCUUCUCCUUCCUCCCUUCCUUAGGCUGUAAAUUGCAAUUUUUUAUGAUUUAUAAUAGUCUUUUAGAGUUUAUUGAAAACCUGCGAAACAGCAAAUCCAUGAAAAGUGAACCACAAAGUAGUGAAGAAACACUGUAUAUAUAUAGGAGCACCCAGGUGGUGCAACCUGUUAAAGCACUGAGCUGCUGAACUCGUGGACCGAAAGGUCACAGGUUCAAAUCUGGGGAGCGGAGUGAGUGCCCGCUGUUAGACCCAUCUUCUGCCAGCCUAGCAGUUCGAAAACAUGGCAAAAAGGUAACAGCGCUCCAUGCAGUCAUGCCGGCCACAUGACCUAGGAAGAGUCUACGGACAAUGCCGGCCCUUUGGCUUAGAAAUGGAGUUGAGCACCAACCCCCAGAGUCAGACACAACUAGACUUAAUGUCAGGGGAAAACCUUUACCUUUAAAGUUACUCCACUGGCUGCCAUUUCAUUUCGGGGCAAAGUACAAGGUGAAGAUUUGUUGUCCAAGGCUUUCAUGGCCAGAAUCACUGGGUUGUUGUGAGUUUUCUAGGCUGUAUGACUAUGUUCCACAAGCAUUCUCUCCUGACAUUUCGCCCACAUCCUCAGACAUCCUCAGAGGUUGUUGAGGUCUGUUAGAGACUAGGCAAGUUAGGAUUAUAUAUCCGUGGAAUAAUGUCCAGUGUGGGAGAAAGAACUCUUGUCUGUUGGAGGCAAGUGUGAAUGUUUCAAUUAAUUACCUUGAUUGGCAUUGAAAAGCUUUGCAGCUUCUAAACCUGGCUGAUUUCUGCUGGGGGGAAUCCUUUGUUGGGAGGUAUUCUCUGGUCCUGAUUGAUUCAUGUCUGGAAUUCCUCUGUUUUCAGAUUAUUGUUCUUUAUUUACUAUCCUGAUUCUAGAGUUUAUUUUAAUACUGGUAGCCAGAUUUUGUUAAUUUUCAUGGUUUCCUCCUUUCUGUUGAAAUUGUCCACAUGCUUGUGGAUUUCAGUGGUGUCCAAGUUGGUUCAUCAACACGAAUCAAGGAACAUGAAAGGCACUGCAGACUUACUCAUCCAGAGAAGUCAGCCAUGGCAGAGCACUUGAUGAACUAACCUGGACACAGCAUAUUAUUUGAGAACAUGGAAAUGCUGGACCACUUAACAACCACCAUGUCAGAGAACCCAAUUGUCUGGGGCGGAUUGUACAGGAGAAAGCAAUCCUGUAGGUAAUCUGGACCCAAACUAUGUAGGGCUUUAAAGAUCAAAACCUUCAGUUUGUACUUUGCCCGGAAACGAAUUGGCAGCCAGUGGAGUGACUUUAGCAUAGGUGUAAUAUGCUCACUACUGGAUGUUCCUGUAAUCAAUCUGGCUGCCCUAUUUUGAACCAGCUGGAGUUUCCGAACUUGAUACAAAGGUUGCCCAAUGUAAAGCGCAUUGCAGAAAUCCUUCGGGGGCUGACCAGGUAUAUGGAUGGAAGGAUGAGCAUGUUGUCAAAGGCUUUCAUGGCUGGAAUCACUGUGUUGCUGUGAGUUUUACAAAAUCAACAACAAUCAAACUUAUAAAUAUCUAUCUCUUCUGCAGGCGUACCCAGCCAGUUUUAAUCAUGAAUUUUAAUAUCUGUUCUAUGUAUUGAAUAUGUGUUUUAUAGAAAUACGUUUUAAUAUGUAUCUUUUAUAGAACUACAUAUAAUACAAUUUUUGCAACGUUUGUGUGUUCUGACUGCUGUGACCUGCCUUGAGUAAUGAGGAGAGGCGGGUAAGAAAUAAAAUUAUUAUUCGUAUCAAUGAGAAUGAUUUUUUAAAAUUGAACAAACAUACCACUACAGUUUAUCCUCUUCAAAAUAGGCUCUUUGUGAUCAAAUACAGUGUUGCUGGCCUUCGUCAUGGAGAAAGGCUUCCCUUGUGAUGUCAUUGCAAGCUGCCAUAGCAGCUGCCUGGACUUUUUUAACUGUCCUGGAAUGAUGUCCUUUGAAGUGGGCUUUGAGCUUCAGGAAAGAAAACACAUGGACCCAAGACUCUGCACAGCAGGUAAGUAUGCUUUCAGAAGCCAUAGAGCAACGUUGGUCUCAGUUUUUGAAGCUGAGGGACUCUGUUCCAGACUCUGCAAUUUCCGUGACGAGACCCAAAAAUGACGACACACUUUGCUACCAACUGCUACGAAGGUGUGAAGAAGAUCUACAUUGGCUCCAUUCCUGUUGUGAAUUCAGCUCCUGAAGCUCCUUACAAACUUCAGCUCUUUCCCUGUAUAGAAACCAUAACUCACAGAUGCAAUACAGUGACAAUGGAAAGAC